rnacentral:tRNA from 1 species
UCCCUGGUGGUCCAGUGGUUAGGACUCCAUGCUUUCACUGCUGAGGUUCUGAGGGCCCAGGUUCAAUCCCUGGCCAGGGAA